GGCCGGACUGCUCGGGGUUAGGCUGGGCAUCAGUCAGCGAGUGAAACAGCUCCAGACCUUAUGGACAGAGAUAAUUUAUCACUGUCAGCCACCACUGAUAGAAUAAUUCUUCCUCAACCCUAGAAGAGACACCAGUUGAAAGUACAUAAAAUAGAGGCCUACAGAGGACAAACAGCAAAACAGAAUCAUAUCAUAUUAAAAGUGCACAAGACCUACAGUAAUCCAGUGGAACAGUGCAUUGCUGUAUUGUCUGUAUGAAGGGACUGUUCUUCUGGAAGCAUUUAGCCUUGAUGAUCGUGAAUGAGCAGAAAGAGUAAGGAUAUCAAUAAGGACCUCUGAUGUGAAGGAAGAUAACUGUGAAAAGUCAUUAAUUUCAACCACGUUAUAUUUGUCACAAAACUGAGAUCAGUGCUGAAAUUUCACCAGAACUGCCUUAAGGAUGGGCAUUUCCUCUGUUAAAGGCUUCAUCUUCAGGCUUUCUUGAUGUUCAGUGAAAGUCUCUCAAGGGACUUCAUUUUAACUGAGUCCUUUUUUUCUCAGAACUUUGAAUUUGAGAAUUCUUAUGUAAAUGAAGCAUGAUAAGAACUUUUUCUUUUAAUUACCCAUCUCUAAACAUGUUUUAACAUAGAUAAUAAAUUGAUAUUAAUUUGUGUUUUAUCUAAGAAUUCAUUUUUCCACAUGUAAACCUUUAAAAUGUUCAAUUCUUAGUGGUUUGAAAUGAAAUGAAGACUAAUCCUGGACUUAGAGAAAGAAAUCUUUAUGAUUUAAGCGCCUUUUUUUUUUUUUUUAAACUUGUUGACUUCUUUCUUUGCACUCCAUUGAAAAAUCAGCAAGAAUGGUCAAUGUGUAGAUAAUGUGUAUUUCUCUUGCUAAUUUAAUCAUGAUUUUUCCCUGCUCAUACUUUGAGGAGACUAGAAAGGGAUACUGAAAGUGAGAGGAAGCUGGUGAAAACUGGGAACUGUUUUAAUUGUGAUGAAUUAAUAAAGGUGUUUUGAUAACAAAAAAAAAGGUCUAUUGUACAUGCACCUUGGCUUUGUAGGUGAAGAAUCUGAAUUAGCCAAAUAAAAAAGUAUGAUCUUUCACUGCUGGACAUGCAA